CCAAGAUUGUCGAAUAUUGUAUUGUCAUAAAUUUGUCUGCAGACGUUACGGAGUUUUCUCGGUGAAAGAAGUGCGCAAAGUUGAUAAUGGCUUUUAUAAAUAUUAUAUCAAUUAAUAGUUGUAUCCCUUCACUGCUGCUCAUACUGCUUGUGUCAGCUCAAACGAAGACGCAGCCCGCGCUGGUGUCUCCGUGCCCCAGUGUCUUCGAAUACGACACAAGCAUACAGCAUCCAGGUAGAUGGUACGGCGUUAUCAAGCUAUCAAGCGACUACACUAUCCACUCGUUGUGGUUGAACAUACAUCUGGACAACUAUUCUGAGGCGUUUAAGCCCACAGCCGUCCACUGCUGGACAUAGGCCUCUCCCAAUCUACACCACUGAGCCCGGUCUGCGGCUCUCCUCAUCCACUUCUUGCCGGCCACCGUGCGGAGGUCAUCGCACCAUGUAGCCAGGGGGCGUCCCACGUUACGUAUUCCGCUGCUACUAUAGCGGGUAGAUAAUGGUAUACGACAAGUAUUACUCAAAAUAAACAAAACAAUUUAAUUUAA